AAUCAUUAUUUUGAAUAAAAUCAACUGGAGAGACCAACUCCAUCAAGUGUGAAGACACGCCCUCACUGAUUUGAACACUACGACAGAAGCUGUCUCUAACACAGAGUCUACAAGGCUCAGUGGUCGCUUCCUUCCUGGUCUGUGGUGAACAUGAACACUCUCCGGCUAAUAACUAAAGGAUCUGUGGUAUCCAAAAACAAGAGGAACAUAUGUUGAAAUAACAUUUCUGAAUCAUAAAUGUUCAUUCAUCUCCCUAAGACUUUCACUCUGAAUUCACUCUGAAGCUUCACUGUGACCACCUGAAUGUCAACAUUGUUAAAUACUUUGUGGCCAGUUGAAACACACAUUCAAGA